UUUAUUACCAACAUCGUUGGCAUCCCUGAGUAUGAGAGUUCAGAAGAAACUUAGAGGCUAUUGUCUGAUUCAAUCCUUGCAGCUUACAAAAAGAAAUGUGGGGAGCAGUCACUGUGUGACUAGCCUGAGGUCACUCAGGAAGUUAGAGGCAGAACUGCAGCCAGGGUCACCUCUCUUUACUGCUACUAGUGUGCUCCUUCUACUGCACCCUGAUCAUAAAACAUCUCCCAACCCAGGAACAAGGUCUACCGCAUAGGUGGGCACAGCAGCGUGAUCACUCUCUCAGUCGUCUGUACUCCUCCUUUGCUUUGACCAAAGACACAGGAAGGGACCUUUUGCCCCACAUAAAACACCUCUCAGAGGCUUGGCAACAACAACAGAUAAUAGAGAGCAUUGACCUAAGACCAACAUUUCAACCAUGGUGUCAAAACAAUAUUUUAUUUCAGCAAAGAAAAACUAUGUCACAAGUGGAUUAUUAUUACUAAUAAUCAGACUAGUGGUACUUGCGAAUGACUUGGUUUCAUACUCACACUUGGACAACUAUGCACACUGAGUAUAACUGACCUUAUGAGAACAUCAUUCUCACUAAGAUUAUGAUGUGCUUUCUCACGUGGGAACUGUACAUAAUAUUGCGUGUACACUUGGGAGGAUGUCCUGCCUGUGAUGUUGUCUUUCAGGGGAAGAAGAAUGGUUGAGAACUGAGGGUAUAUUAAACAUUUACUCCUCCAGAUUUUUCAAGAUUUCUGUUAAGCCAGAUCAGAAGAAAGCCAUCUAUUUGGAUUGCAUCACUCUAACCUGGAAAUACCAAUAUUUUCUAAGCAUGGCAAGUGUUUCCAAGCAUUCAGAAGUGGAGAGUGUAGGAAAUCCACUGCAGAAUGAGGUCUGCUCGUCAUCCUCUCAGUCUCAACUGCUCUCCCUCCUUCAUCUCUCUCUGUUUCAUUGGUGAGUAUAGAAGAUCAGGCAUUUUUAUAUGAAAUGAAAAUUGAUGGAACUAAGGUGUUGAUUUGAAUAUCCAACCGACCUUUUAUUGAGUGUCUAUUACAAGUUAAAUUGUGUUGUAGAGAACAGCUCAGGAAACGAAUGCUUGACAUUGAUGUACAUAACAGAAAUACAAACAUGCCAUUAAAAAAUCAGACCUCUUAUGAGCAUCCAGAUUCUCACGUAAGUUUUGUGAAGCUCUUUCAAAAUGAGAAUGUAAAAUUUCAAAAAAAACAUCAUUUUCACAAGUCAUUCUUGAGACAGAAAAGUGGAAAUAGAAGUUCAUAUAUGGUUGUUUCACUAUCUCUAAUCUUAUGUACAGUUUUUAGUCAGUUGACAGCCAUAUAAUUCUUAGUUUUAUAUACUGAUAGUCAUUAGAAAUUACAAAUUUUAAAAAAUAUUCAUGUCUCAUUCUACGAAUCAAUGUAAAAAUUUCAUUCACUUGGUUAUAUUUCUUCAUUUUACCUGGCCUUGACUACUUCUUUCCUGCCCAGCAUUAAAUUUAAUUAAUGUCUAAUUUGUUUACUUGGUUUAGUUAUUUUGGCCAUGUUCAGUACACUUGUUAUGAAGCAGGCAUGUAGGAAUGUUGACAAGUUUAUGGUCCUCACUCUUCCAAAUCCCUAAUGGCGGCACCCCAACAGACACAUACCACAAUGUAAACACAUACACACACACACAAUCCGUGCCCACCCAUACUCACCCACGUACACACAGACACACACACACACUCCAGUGGAUCAACACAUAAAACACUCCACAGGCAGGCAUCGUACAGCAGGGAUCUCUUAGUGCACUACACACUUCUGUAAAUUAUCAGGACUCUUCAAUUGAGGUGAGUCUACAGAGAUUUCAAAAGCUAUUUGAGUGUUAAGCUAUCUAACUAGUGGUUGGACACUAUUUAAAUAAUGCAUUAAACACAACUCUUGAGGCUCUGAAGAAUUUCUGUGCUUUCCAAUUCACCAGGAGUUACAAGGUCCUGAAAACCACAACUGUGUUACAUCCUUUAAUAGAUAAAGCAAAGCUGAUUUUAAUGUGAAUAUACUUUAUAGUUAUUUCUAUUCCUGUUAAUUUUUGUUUGCUUGUAAUACACAUUUUUAUGUAACUGGGAGUAAGGAACAUCUUAGGAAAAAGAAAACAAAAAAUAAAAUUUCGCUGUUUACACUGUGCCUUGGUCCAGUAACCCUGCACUGCACAUAUACACUUUAAAUUGGUGCCUUGGGGAACCACUUCGGUAUUUCUUUUUUUUUUCUUUUAUGUUGUAAACCUUUCUU
rnacentral:lncRNA from 10 species